rnacentral:rRNA from 1 species
AGUGAACGCUGGCGGUAGGCCUAACACAUGCAAGUCGAACGGCAGCACAGAGGAGCUUGCUCCUUGGGUGGCGGGUGGCGGACGGGUGAGGAAUACAUCGGAAUCUACUCUGUCGUGGGGGAUAACGUAGGGAAACUUACGCUAAUACCGCAUACGACCUACGGGUGAAAGCAGGGGAUCUUCGGACCUUGCGCGAUUGAAUUAGCCGAUGUCGGAUUAGCUAGUUGGCGGGGUAAAGGCCCACCAAGGCGACGAUCCGUAGCUGGUCUGAGAGGAUGAUCAGCCACACUGGAACUGAGACACGGUCCAGACUCCUACGGGAGGCAGCAGUGGGGAAUAUUGGACAAUGGGCGCAAGCCUGAUCCAGCCAUACCGCGCGGGUGAAGAAGGCCUUCGGGUUGUAAAGCCCUUUUGUUGGGAAAGAAAUCCAUCUGGUUAAUACCCGGGUGGGAUGACGGUACCCAAAGAAUAAGCACCGGCUAACUUCGUGCCAGCCGCCGCCGUAA